rnacentral:rRNA from 1 species
GUGGAUUAGAUACCCUGGUAGUCCACGCUGUAAACGAUGGGCACUAGGUGUCCGGGGUAUUGACCCCCUGGGUGCCGCAGCUAACGCAUUAAGUGCCCCGCCUGGGGAGUACGGUCGCAAGAUUAAAACUCAAAGGAAUUGACGGGGGCCCGCACAAGCGGUGGAGCAUGUGGUUCAAUUCGACGCAACGCGAAGAACCUUACCUGGGCUAGACAACGGCGGACCGUCCUAGAAAUAGGAUUUUCCCUUCGGGGACUGCCGGUUCAGGUGCUGCACGGCCGUCGCCAACU